ensembl:lncRNA
ACCGAACAAAAAGCCAUGGAGGAGUACAUUCAGGAAGCGUUGCACCAAGGUUAUAUACGACCAUCUACUUCUCCAGCAUCCGCGGGGUUUUUCUUCAUAGAGAAGAAGGGAGGAGGUUUACGACCAUGUAUCGACUACCGAGGACUAAACCGGUGUUGCGUCAAGUACCCACUACCUCUAGUACCAGCCGCUCUGGAACAAUUGCGCACUGCCACCAUCUUCAUGAAGCUGGACUUACGCAGUGCAUACAACUUGGUGCAGAUUCGAGAAGGAGAUGAACGCUCCCUCGGUCUUCCAAUGUCUAAUCAACGACGUGUUACGUGACAUGCUGGGACGUCAUGUGAUCGCCUACAUAGACGGCAUUCUAAUAUAUUCUGACUCCCGGGAGGAACAUGUUUGCCAUGUCCGCCAAGUUCUACAACGACUGCUCCAUCAUCAGUUAUAUGUCAAAGCUGAGAAAUGCGAAUUUCAUAAAACCGCCAUUGCGUUUCUGGGAUACAUCAUCAGCCCCGAGGGGAUCUCCAUGAACCAAGAAAAGGUCCAGGCAGUAGUAAACUGGUCCCCACCCACGACGAUCAAGGAACUACAGAGGUUUCUGGGGUUCGCAAACUUCUACAGAAGGUUUAUUAGAAAUUCCUGUGCCAUCACCAACCCCCUCACGUCCCUGCUAAAGGGGAAACCCAAACGUCUAUCAUAGAAUCCAACCGCCCAAACUGCCUUUGACAAGCUCAAGAAAGCCUUCACUACUGCACCCAUCAUCAAACAUCCGGACCCAUCCAGACCGUUUAUAGUGGAGAUGGACGCGUCAGAAACUGGGGUAGGAGCAAUUUUAUCCCAGCGAUUCGGAGAGAAGCCAAAGCUCCAUCCGGUGGACGCGUCAGAAACUGGGGUAGGAGCAAUUUUAUCCCAGCGAUUCGGAGAGAAGCCAAAGCUCCAUCCGGUGGCAUUCUUCUCGCGAAAGCUUUCCCCCGCUGAGAGAAACUACGAUGUGGGAAAUCGUGAACUCUUGGCAAUUAAGUUUGUGCUAGAGGAGUGGAGACACUGGUUAGAGGGGGCUACACAUCCCUUUGUCAUCUUCACAGACCAUAAGAACCUGGAGUACCUUCGCACUGCAAAGCGACUUACACCCCGCCAGGCUCGAUGGGCCCUGUUCUUUACCAGGUUUCACUUCACGUUAUCCUACAGACCAGGGUCCAAGAACAUAAAAGCUGAUGCCCUGUCUCGUCUCAACAACACAGAUCG